GACGAACGCUGGCGGCGUGCCUAAUACAUGCAAGUCGGACGCCGUGGGGACGGGUGAGUAACACGUGGGUAACAUCCCAUCAGAGGGGAUAACACUUGGAAAAAGGUGCUAAACCGAUACUGAUGGAUGGACGCGUGGUGAAUUAGUUGGUUGGGGAGUUAACGGCUCACCAAGGCCACGAUGCAUAGCCGACCUGAGAGGGUGUUAGGCCACACGGGGACGAAGACACGGCCCAGACUCCUACGGGAGGCAUCAGUAGGGAAUCUUCGGUAAUGGGCGAAAGUUUGACCGAGAAACGCCGCGUGAUGUAAGAAGUUUUUCGGUGCUUAAAACUCUGUUUUUAGAGAGGCGGUAUCUAACCAGAAAGCCACGGCUAACUACGUGCCAGCCGCCGCGGUAAUAG
rnacentral:rRNA from 1 species